AACGAACGCUGGCGGCAUGCCUAACACAUGCAAGUCGAACGAGACCUUCGGGUCUAGUGGCGCACGGGUGCGUAACGCGUGGGAACCUGCCCCUAGGUUCGGAAUAACUCCCCGAAAGGGGUGCUAAUACCGGAUAAUGUCUUCGGACCAAAGAUUUAUCGCCUUUGGAUGGGCCCGCGUUGGAUUAGCUAGUUGGUAGGGUAAAAGCCUACCAAGGCGACAAUCCAUAGCUGGUCUGAGAGGAUGAUCAGCCACACUGGGACUGAGACACGGCCCAGACUCCUACGGGAGGCAGCAGUGGGGAAUAUUGGACAAUGGGCGAAAGCCUGAUCCAGCAAUGCCGCGUGAGUGAUGAAGGCCUUAGGGUUGUAAAGCUCUUUUACCCGGGAUGAUAAUGACAGUACCGGGAGAAUAAGCUCCGGCUAACUCCGUG
rnacentral:rRNA from 1 species